UUUGUUCCAGAAUAAUCGGCUAGACUUUGUAAACUUAUACUCUAAUUAAUGUUAAUUUAGAGUUAUUAGUAUUUGAUUUUUAAUUUUAGGGUGAAAUCAGAAAUUGUUUUUAUUCUAACUCUGAAUUUUAAGAUUUAAUAAACAAACCAGAUUAGUACCUGGUUAGAUAAAAUUUAAAAGAGCAGGAGUAGAGUUAUAUUUAAACUGUAAGAAUAUUGGCAGGUUUUUAAAUUAUCUUUGGAGGCUGAGUAGUAAUUGAGAACCCUCAUUUUCAACUUUUUCUUUUGGCGCAUGUAUGAUCGUUUAUUUUAUUCUGAAGGAUUGUAAUUUUAGUCUUUGCUGUAAAAAUAGAUAGAUAUCUGGCUUAUGUAAAAGAUUUAAUUUGGCCUACAAUAAAUUAUUUUGUGGAUCCCAGCCUGAGAGGGUCGGGUGAAAUUGUAAAAGACAGUAAGUUGCUUUUUAUAGGUAACUGAAGUUUAUUUAAAAACGGUACAAA
rnacentral:rRNA from 1 species